UACACUCCUACGGGAGGCAGCAGUGGGGAAUAUUGGACAAUGGGCGCAAGCCUGAUCCAGCCAUGCCGCGUGAGUGAUGAAGGCCCUAGGGUUGUAAAGCUCUUUUGUGCGGGAAGAUAAUGACGGUACCGCAAGAAUAAGCCCCGGCUAACUUCGUGCCAGCAGCCGCGGUAAUACGAAGGGGGCUAGCGUUGCUCGGAAUCACUGGGCGUAAAGGGUGCGUAGGCGGGUCUUUAAGUCAGGGGUGAAAUCCUGGAGCUCAACUCCAGAACUGCCUUUGAUACUGAAGAUCUUGAGUUCGGGAGAGGUGAGUGGAACUGCGAGUGUAGAGGUGAAAUUCGUAGAUAUUCGCAAGAACACCAGUGGCGAAGGCGGCUCACUGGCCCGAUACUGACGCUGAGGCACGAAAGCGUGGGGAGCAAACAGGAUUAGAUACCCGAGUAGUCCCAUGA
rnacentral:rRNA from 1 species